rnacentral:sRNA from 1 species
UAGCCGAGGGCCCAAUUUCUCGAAGUGA